CUGGGAAGGCUGCAGGAUCUGUGUGUGAGAGACACGCUUUCUGAUGCAAUGCUUCCACAUAAUACAUUGCUGCAUCUCUUACUCCUUGCUGUACUGCCCGGACCAUCCUUAUAUGCAUUGUCGCUCUCUCUAUGACAAAUUUUGGCUUCUCUGCAGCUACUGCACAACUGUCCAUCACCUCUGAUGCUCUCUCCAGGUCACUCCCUCCCCAGUGAUAAUGGAUCCCGCCAUUGAGAAAUAGUGGCUGUCGCUAUGGAGGUGUUUAAGUGUUACUAUGGUCUCUUGGAGAUGGAUUCUCCGGCACCAUGUCCUUCCUGUAUUUAAACAUAAGGAACACAGUGGUUUGAAUAUGCUACAUCCGGUGACGUCGGGAGUUGAUGGGGCUAAGACACGCAGUGGAAUGCAUACGUCACAUCCAAUAACAUACGGAAGUGAAAUGCCGCACUAAAAAGUGCGGUGGAAUGCAUAGGCAUCAUUUCCUGGAAAUUCCGGAAGUGACAUGGAGACCAAGAACGGGAUCAUUGUUUUUUAUUCGAUACGAGUAAUUCUUUUUAUUUUGGUGCCUUUUAUCACAUGGGGAAGUGUGCCUGAAUGUUUUAUGCUGUAUAAAAAUCUUGAUUUGGACUAUUGCCACCAAGCUUCUGACAAAGGACCCAACGGUCCGAAACACGUUAAGCUGGUGGAUUUUCUGAACACCCAGGGGACUUUCUUCUUGUGGAUACUCACCUCUCCAUUUAAAUAUCUGAAAGGACAUUAACUACGUUGAUGGAUGCACCGGCUGGUUCCGUUGUUCGUCGUGUGUGAGAUUCCUUAAACCCCUGUGGAGGUUCUAUUACAUGCUUCAAUUCUAUAUGUUUAUUGUAAGUGCAUCCUUUAAAAUAAAUGGUUACUUUUAUAUAACAAUGUUGCACUAAAUUCUUCUCCCUUCUAAGUUCUAUGUACUUCAGUGAAGGAAGAGAAACUAAGAGAGCAGCAUAUUGGGAGGAUGAUAAGCAGUUUAUACAUUGAUUAAAUGUGAGUGUGAUUACCUAACCAGGUGUCAUUAAUACACUAUCUAAACGGUGUUACAAUAAGUGCUGUCUCACUCUUCUGAGGUACAAGUGUGGAGUGUUUUGAAUUCUAUAUACUUCAGUGGAAGAAAAGAAACUAUGGGAGCAUCAUGGU